CCUACGGGUUGCAGCAGUGGGGAAUAUUGCACAAUGGGCGCAAGCCUGAUGCAGCCAUGCCGCGUGUGUGAAGGAGGCCUUCGGGUUGUAAAGCACUUUCAGCGGGGAGGAAGGCGUUAAGGUUAAUAACCUUGUCGAUUGACGUUACCCGCAGAAGAAGCACCGGCUAACUCCGUGCCAGCAGCCGCGGUAAUACGGAGGGUGCAAGCGUUAAUCGGAAUUACUGGGCGUAAAGCGCACGCAGGCGGUCUGUCAAGUCGGAUGUGAAAUCCCCGGGCUCAACCUGGGAACUGCAUUCGAAACUGGCAGGCUAGAGUCUUGUAGAGGGGGGUAGAAUUCCAGGUGUAGCGGUGAAAUGCGUAGAGAUCUGGAGGAAUACCGGUGGCGAAGGCGGCCCCCUGGACAAAGACUGACGCUCAGGUGCGAAAGCGUGGGGAGCAAACAGGAUUAGAUACCCGGGUAGUC
rnacentral:rRNA from 1 species